rnacentral:piRNA from 1 species
CAGGAAGAUCGAUGAGGCCAUG